rnacentral:rRNA from 1 species
GACGAACGCUGGCGGCGUGCUUAACACAUGCAAGUCGAACGGAAAGGCCCUGCUUGCAGGGUACUCGAGUGGCGAACGGGUGAGUAACACGUGGGUGAUCUGCCCUGCACUUCGGGAUAAGCCUGGGAAACUGGGUCUAAUACCGGAUAGGAGCCAUUUUUAGUGUGAUGGUUGGAAAGUUUUUUCGGUGUAGGAUGAGCUCGCGGCCUACCAGCUUGUUGGUGGGGUAAUGGCCUACCAAGGCGGCGACGGGUAGCCGGCCUGAGAGGGUGGACGGCCACAUUGGGACUGAGAGACGGCCCAGACGCCUACGGGAGGCAGCAGUGGGGAAUAUUGCACAAUGGGCGCAAGCCUGAUGCAGCGACGCCGCGUGGGGGAUGACGGCCUUCGGGUUGUAAACUCCUUUCGCUAGGGACGAAGCUUUUUGUGACGGUACCUAGAUAAGAAGCACCGGCUAACUACGUG